AGUAUCCUCGACCAUGCUGGUGGUUGAUAUUUCAACUGAAAAGGGAAUCUGGUGAAAAUCCAGAACUGACGCGCAGCGGUAACAGAGAACGAACGCCCCGGAGAAAUCCAAACACUGUUUUUCACAUAAAAACGGGAAGUGGGGCGCUAGGUACCCAAUUGAGGUGUGCUCUUGAGUCCGAAUACCUGCCAGCAGUAAGAACCAAGUG
rnacentral:ncRNA from 6 species